rnacentral:hammerhead_ribozyme from 1 species
AUCCAGCUGACGAGUCCCAAAUGGGACGAAACGCACAUCUGGGAU